AUUGAACGCUGGCGGCAUGCCUUACACAUGCAAGUCGAACGGUAACAGCACUUCGGUGGCUGACGAGUGGCGAACGGGUGAGUAAUACAUCGGAACGUGCCCGAGAGUGGGGGAUAACGCAGCGAAAGCUGUGCUAAUACCGCAUACGAUCUACGGAUGAAAGCAGGGGACCGCAAGGCCUUGCGCUCAUGGAGCGGCCGAUGGCAGAUUAGGUAGUUGGUGGGAUAAAAGCUUACCAAGCCGACGAUCUGUAGCUGGUCUGAGAGGACGACCAGCCACACUGGGACUGAGACACGGCCCAGACUCCUACGGGAGGCAGCAGUGGGGAAUUUUGGACAAUGGGCGAAAGCCUGAUCCAGCCAUGCCGCGUGCAGGAUGAAGGCCUUCGGUUGUAAACUGCUUUGUACGGUAACGAAAAGGUACGUUUUCUUAAUAAAGUAAAGGACUCAUGACGGUACCGUAACGAAUAAAGCACCGGCUAACUACGUGCC
rnacentral:rRNA from 1 species